rnacentral:rRNA from 1 species
GUAGGGAAUAUUGGGCAAUGGCCGAGAGGCUGACCCAGCCAUGCCGCGUGCCGGAUGAAGGCCUUCUGGGUUGUAAACGGCUUUUCUCAGGGAAGAAAAAGGGGAUGCGUCCUCAACUGACGGUACCUGAGGAAUAAGCACCGGCUAACUCCGUGCCAGCAGCCGCGGUAAUACGGAGGGUGCGAGCGUUGUCCGGAUUUAUUGGGUUUAAAGGGUGCGUAGGCGGCCCGUUAAGUCCGGGGUGAAAGCCCACUGCUCAACAGUGGAACUGCCCUGGAUACUGGCGGGCUUGAGUCCAGACGAGGUUGGCGGAAUAGAUGCUGUAGCGGUGAAAUGCAUAGAUAGCAUCUAGAACCCCGAUUGCGUAGGCAGCUGACUAGGCUGGCACUGACGCUGAGGCACGAAAGCGUGGGGAGCGAACAGGAUUAGAAACCCCGGUAGUCC